GUGUCAUGGUCAUUGUUGGUCACUCAUACGACCCCUGCAAUUGCAUUGCAGCUUAUGUUGGGGUCUAUAACGAUCAACAACGACCCUUGACAU
rfam:Medicago truncatula strain A17 chromosome 1, whole genome shotgun sequence.